GAAUUUUAUAAUUUUUAUUUUUAUUUUUUGAGUUUGUUAUAAAUAUAAAACUUAUUUAGUUGGGAGGACUUUUAAAUUAAUUAAACUUUAAAUUUUUAUAACAUUAAUUAGUGAAUUUAAGAUUAUAGUUAAUUAUUUAAGAAUUAAUUACCUUAGGGAUAACAGCGUAAUGCUUUUGGAUAGUUCAUAUUAAUAGAAGUGUUUGC
rnacentral:rRNA from 1 species